rnacentral:rRNA from 1 species
AGUGAACGCUGGCGGUAGGCCUAACACAUGCAAGUCGAACGGCAGCACAGUAAGAGCUUGCUCUUACGGGUGGCGAGUGGCGGACGGGUGAGGAAUACAUCGGAAUCUACUUUUUCGUGGGGGAUAACGUAGGGAAACUUACGCUAAUACCGCAUACGACCUACGGGUGAAAGCAGGGGAUCUUCGGACCUUGCGCGAUUGAAUGAGCCGAUGUCGGAUUAGCUAGUUGGCGGGGUAAAGGCCCACCAAGGCGACGAUCCGUAGCUGGUCUGAGAGGAUGAUAAGCCACACUGGAACUGAGACACGGUCCAGACUACUACGGGAGGCAGCAGUGGGGAAUAUUGGACAAUGGGCGCAAGCAUGAUCCAGCCAUACCGCGUGGGUGAAGAAGGCCUUCGGGUUGUAAAGCCCUUUUGUUGGGAAAGAAAAGCAGCAGGUUAAUACCCCGCUGUUCUGACGGUACCCAAAGAAUAAGCACCGGCUAACUUCGUG